AAAACGUCAAUGCCUGCUUGCACGUAAGCUUGCUUAAAAGAACUUUGGGUGGCCUGGUAACUUCAGGACGCUUCGCCAAUUACCAGAGGAAGUAAGGCUUGCCCAAAACCGAGCAAACCAGAACCAGUGGCCCCUGUCACCUUUAGAUCAUUAGCAUAUCAUUAUAAUGCUAAAGUCCCCACUCAUAGAAGAGAAUCAUAGAAGAGAAUCGUUGCCACUUUCUGCACACGUGUCGUAUGAAGAGCCUGUUCAUGAUCUGCACCUGCGUGUCUGAAGUUCCUCCCCACAUAAGCUUACAUAGCUCCUGCCCCACAUCUAACCCUGUUACAUUCCCCAGCUCCCCACCGCUCUGGAAGAAGCUGUCUUUAGAGCAAGUGCUCUCUCCUUCUCCAUGCCUGGCCGGGAAUAAAACCUGCUUUUC
rnacentral:lncRNA from 10 species